rnacentral:rRNA from 1 species
UAAUACGGAGGGUGCAAGCGUUGUCCGGAUUUAUUGGGUUUAAAGGGUGCGUAGGCGGCCUGGUAAGUCGGCGGUGAAAGCCCGGGGCUCAACCCCGGAACUGCCAUCGAUACUGUCAGGCUUGAGUACAGGCGAGGUUGGCGGAAUGGGCGGUGUAGCGGUGAAAUGCAUAGAUACCGUCCAGAACCCCGAUUGCGAAGGCAGCUGACUAGGCUGUAACUGACGCUGAGGCACGAAAGCGUGGGGAGCGAACAGGAUUAGAUACCCUGGUAGUCCACGCCGUAAACGAUGGAUACUCGCCGUGGGCGAUAAACAGUCUGCGGCUAAGCGAAAGCGCUAAGUAUCCCACCUGGGGAGUACGCCGGCAACGGUG